rnacentral:rRNA from 1 species
CGAAAGACGGGUGAGAAUCCCGUCCACCGAUUGACUAAGGUUUCCAGAGGAAGGCUCGUCCGCUCUGGGUUAGUCGGGUCCUAAGCUGAGGCCGACAGGCGUAGGCGAUGGAUAACAGGUUGAUAUUCCUGUACCACCUAUAAUCGUUUUAAUCGAUGGGGGGACGCAGUAGGAUAGGCGAAGCGUGCGAUUGGAUUGCACGUCUAAGCAGUAAGGCUGAGUAUUAGGCAAAUCCGGUACUCGUUAAGGCUGAGCUGUGAUGGGGAGAAGACAUUGAGUCUUCGAGUCGUUGAUUUCACACUGCCGAGAAAAGCCUCUAGAUAGAAAAUAGGUGCCCGUACCGCAAACCGACACAGGUAGUCAAGAUGAGAAUUCUAAGGUGAGCGAGCGAACUCUCGUUAAGGAACUCGGCAAAAUGACCCCGUAACUUCGGGAGAAGGGGUGCUCUUUAGGGUUAACGCCCAGAAGAGCCGCAGUGAAUAGGCCCAAGCGACUGUUUAUCAAAAACACAGGUCUCUGCUAAACCGUAAGGUGAUGUAUAGGGGCUGACGCCUGCCCGGUGCUGGAAGGUUAAGAGGAGUGGUUAGCUUCUGCGAAGCUACGAAUCGAAGCCCCAGUAAACGGCGGCCGUAACUAUAACGGUCCUAAGGUAGCGAAAUUCCUUGUCGGGUAAGUUCCGACCCGCACGAAAGGCGUAACGAUUUGGGCACUGUCUCAACGAGAGACUCGGUGAAAUCAUAGUACCUGUGAAGAUGCAGGUUACCCGCGACAGGACGGAAAGACCCCGUGGAGCUUUACUGUAGCCUGAUAUUGAAAUUCGGCACAGCUUGUACAGGAUAGGUAGGAGCCUUUGAAACGUGAGCGCUAGCUUACGUGGAGGCGCUGGUGGGAUACUACCCUAGCUGUGUUGGCUUUCUAACCCGCACCACUUAUCGUGGUGGGAGACAGUGUCAGGCGGGCAGUUUGACUGGGGCGGUCGCCUCCUAAAAGGUAACGGAGGCGCUCAAAGGUUCCCUCAGAAUGGUUGGAAAUCAUUCAUAGAGUGUAAAGGCAUAAGGGAGCUUGACUGCGAGACCUACAAGUCGAGCAGGGUCGAAAGACGGACUUAGUGAUCCGGUGGUUCCGCAUGGAAGGGCCAUCGCUCAACGGAUAAAAGCUACCCCGGGGAUAACAGGCUUAUCUCCCCCAAGAGUUCACAUCGACGGGGAGGUUUGGCACCUCGAUGUCGGCUCAUCGCAUCCUGGGGCUGUAGUCGGUCCCAAGGGUUGGGCUGUUCGCCCAUUAAAGCGGUACGCGAGCUGGGUUCAGAACGUCGUGAGACAGUUCGGUCCCUAUCCGUCGUGGGCGUAGGAAAUUUGAGAGGAGCUGUCCUUAGUACGAGAGGACCGGGAUGGACAUACCUCUGGUGUACCAGUUGUCGUGCCAACGGCAUAGCUGGGUAGCUAUGUGUGGACGGGAUAAGUGCUGAAAGCAUCUAAGCAUGAAGCCCCCCUCAAGAUGAGAUUUCCCAACUUCGGUUAUAAGAUCCCUCAAAGAUGAUGAGGUUAAUAGGUUCGAGGUGGAAGCAUGGUGACAUGUGGAGCUGACGAAUACUAAUCGAUCGAAGACUUAAUCAAAA